rnacentral:rRNA from 1 species
GAUGAACGCUGGCGGCGUGCCUAAUACAUGCAAGUCGAGCGAACGGACGCGACGCUUGCUUCUCUGUUGUUAGCGGCGGACGUGUGAGUCACACGUGUAUAACCCACCUAUAAGACUGGGAUAACUUCGGGACACCGUAGCUAACCCCGGAUAAUCUUUUGCUCCGUAUUGUUGAAUAGUGAAAGUCGGUCUUGCUGUCUCUUAUCGCUGGUUCCGCGCUGCAUUAGCUGGUUGGUAAGGUAACGGCUUACCACGGCAACGAUGCAUAGCCGAGCUGAGAGAGUGGUCGGCCACACUGGAACUGAGACACGGUCCAGGCUACUGCGGGAGGGAGCAGUAGGGAAUGUUCGGCAGUAGGCGGAAGCCUGACGGAGCAACGCGACGUGAGUGAUGGAGGUCUUGGGAUCGUGAAACUCUGUUAUUAGGGGAGAACAGAUGUGGAAGUAAAUGUGGACAUAGUGACGGUAACUGGUAAGGAAGCCACGGCUAACUACGUG